rnacentral:rRNA from 1 species
GACGAACGUUGGCGGCGUGCCUAAUACAUGCAAGUCAACUGAAAUACCGGUAGCAAUACUGGUAUGGAGGUGGCGCACGGGUGAGUAACACGUAGGUAAUCUGCCUUCAGGUCUGACAUAACCCAUCGAAAGGUGAGCUAAUAUCAGAUGAUGCAGCGGCUUGACAUCAAGACAGUUGUUAAAGCUUCGGCGCCUGAAGAUGAGCCUGCGUCUGAUUAGCUAGUUGGCGGGGUAACGGCCCACCAAGGCUGCGAUCAGUAGCUGGUCUGAGAGGAUGAUCAGUCACACUGGAACUGAGACACGGUCCAGACUCUACGGGAGCAGCAGUAAGGAAUAUUGCUCAAUGGACCGAAAGGCUGAAGCAGCAACGCCGCGUGAGGGAUGAA